GUGUUUCCUUUAUGUUUUUUAGAUGUUGCAACAACAUGCUACUAGAUUGAUUCUUGUAAUACAAAGUUGAUUAUGGACAUCUUUUUCUAGUUUGCCUUUCUGCAAUCUUAUUUUCCAUAAAUUAUUCUUCUAACAAAUAUUUUAUCUCACACCAAAAUGUAUCUUCAAUAUAAUAUGCAGAUAGGUGGACAUGGUGUUCCUAAAU
rnacentral:lncRNA from 1 species